rnacentral:lncRNA from 1 species
AAAUGCUUACGGAAGCAGACAAGUGCUAAUAAGGUCCUUAAAUGGGCCUGCAUGGAAAAAAAGAAACAUACAAGGUAAGAUCGAAAGGUUUUACACGAAUUAAUCAGGUUGAAGCUGAGGAGCAAGAUGGAUGACUUCUGAGUUGAGUUGUGUCUGUCGGGGGCAGGAGGUAGAGAGUGGGUGGCUUAUGGAGGAACUGAACAAGUAUAGCUAAAAGAAAGUACUCCCAGAGGUGGGACUGGUGACUAUAGAGGUUAGAAGAUGCCUCCUGAAUGCACUGCAAGCCUGAAAUUACUUUGUCUCUUGGAGGACAAAUUGUCUUUGUAGCAAAAUCAUAAAGGAACACCCUGGGUUAGGCCUGAUAGUGUGGGCCGGUAAGCCUAACUACUAAGCAGGCUAAGGCAGGAGGACCACAAUUUCAUGGCCUUCCUAGGCUAUACUGACAAUCAUAGUAAGGGCAAGGCUAGGCUGGACAUCUUAAGGAGACCUUGUCUCAAAACAUUUUUAAGAAGUUGGUGGAAUGCUGGCCUAGCAUGAGAGGUCCUGGAUUCAAUCCCUAAGACUGGAUGUAGAGAAAGUCAGUCAUGUAUAUCAAACUCCAGGACAGAGAGACUGCGGUCAGACCAACUUGUGCUUGAAUCUUGAAACCUAUUGGUUGCAGCCAAUACCAAGUAACAAGGCAAGGUGGGGCUGAGGCUGCAGCAAUGGUAGAGCACAUCUAGAACCUGCUGGGCCAUAGUCUCAGGCUCCAGUGCCCAAAUGACAAUAAACAAUUCAAAAAAGAAAAACUUCGAGAUAAUGAGAAGAAAAACGUAGGCCUCCCAUUCCUUGCCUACUUCUGCCUCAGAUUCAAAUCUCCCAUCCAAGUAUUAACCAGGCCAAAGCCUGCUUAGCUUCUAAGAUCAGAUGAGAUUGGGGACAUUCAGGGUGGUAUUGGCUAUAAGCCUAGCUUUAAAUCUUUGACAAGGCCCAGAAAAGGCCAGUAGCAUAGAGACAGCUUUUCUUUAUAUCAUCUUUAGAAUAGGUUGUAAAGAAUAUUCCUGGUAGAUAGCCCUUCUACCUAUUCUGAUAGAUAGCUCCCACCUUGACAAGCUUUCCUGUUUUUAUUGCUUCAAGUUGUAUGUCUAUAAAGGCAUGUUUGACUGUAUGCAUUUACUUUUGAAGGCAUUCUUGCUGAAUCUACAGGCAACUCUUCAUCUCUGUAAUGCUACCUGACUUCUCUUGUGAGGAGCUGGUGAGGAAGUUGGUAGGUCUCUGCAGACACUAGGGCCAGCAAAGUGUUGUGGAGUCCUGUGAGGCAAGAAAGAAAUCUGGCUUAACAUGACUCAUAGCUGAUGUUGGUUCAAACUUGUAGUGUCUGACACCAGGCAGUUUAUUUUAGGCAUAUUUAAGUAUAGUACAAUUUGGAAAAAAAAAAGUUUCUUAGUGCAACACAAUCCUGUGUGCACAAUGAGGCAUGAUUACACUGAAACUCUUCUCAGAUACAGGUCUGCUCUUCCAUACAGUCAUACAGAUAGCACAGAAGUCAUCUUGACUAUUAGCUACCUCUGGUCCUGGUUGUGGGAGCUUGGGGAAGCCCUGCCCAUACAAAUAAUGCACUGGUCAUUUAGACGAUUAGCUACCUCAGGUCCUCCUUGUGGGAGCUCAGGGGAAGCCAGAUAUGGCCUGGUCCUACAGAUAGCACAGGGGUUACCUAGGCUAGUAGCCACUUGCAUUCCCAGCCUUCUUGGCAGAAAAUAAGCUAUACAUCUUUUCUCUUGAAAAGACAACCCUGCAUAUUUAGCAUUCCUGGCUUCCCUAGUGAGCACAAGGACCUUUGUGUUCCCAACAGAAUCCGGUUAUCAAAUAGAAAAGUGUGUCCAAAAAAAGAGAAGGAUUGCAACAUGGUGUGCUGGCAUGUGGCAUGUGAAGUAGGAACCAAAUGGAGGGAAAGAAGCAACUACUCCCAAGCUGGAGAAGUAGCUCAGUUGGUAGUGCUUCUGUAGCGUACAGAAAACCCUGCGUUCAGUCCUCAGCAUCUCGUGCAAUCAGUGUGAUGAUGUGCACAAGUAAUUCUACCAGUUGGCAGCGGGAGGCAGGAGGAUCAGAUGUUCAAAGUCAUCCUCAGCUACAUAGAGAGUUCUAGGCUAAUCUGAGCUAGACAUUCUGUCUUGCUUUUGAUUGACAGGCUGUGGGCAGGAGCAUGGUGAGCGUGACAGUCCACAUGAGCCUCAUCACCAUCCUUUCUUCUACGCUUUGCAUCCAGGCCCAGACUCUGUUGAUAGUUUUCUUUCUGUGCCAAAGAACAGUGGGAAAGAGAUUUAGAAAAGGGAAAUAUUUGUAUCUGGGAAGGAGCAGAGCCCUCAGCGACCUCUGGGGUGAUUUUCUUUGAACUAGUCGUUGUUCCAUUAUUCUGUUUGCCUAUAUCCCUAAAGGUUAGGGGACAGUAUCAAUUUCCUUCUGUACCCACAAGUCCACUGCAUAAAUCAGUAAUUAUUUGCUGAAAAAAAAAAUAAGCAACCAAGCAUAGGAUAAUCAGGUUGCCUGGUUGGUGACUCUUGAGUCUGAAUUCCCAAGGACAGUAAUCCUCUUAUCCCCUAAGCUGUUCUAGCUGCGUCUAACAGAGAUAGAAAGUGACAGAUGCAGUCUCUUUCUGAUCUAUAUUUAGUUGGAAGUAGGAGCUUUCCAUGUCACUUGAGGCCUUAUGAAUUCUUCUCUGAAGAGUCUAAGUGGCCAGAUACUUUCUGUUCAAGGACUGCCAAAUGCUACUUAAUAGCACUGUAAGUUCAAAUGAAAUAUGUUUAUAGAUGGUGCUGUGUGUGCAGCGGGGAACCAAACUUUACACUGCUAAGGCGGGUGGGAAUUAAUCCAGGCAUUGUAUCAGUGCAGAGGCUCCUCAAAAGACUAAGAAUAGAACUAACACACGAGGGCUGGAGAGAUGGCUCAGCGGUUAAGAGCCCUGACUGUUCUUGCAGAGGUCCCGAGUUCAGUUCCCAGCAACCACAUGGUGGUGCAAAAUCAUCUGUAAUGGUAAUCCAAUGCCCUCUUCUGGUGUGUCUGAAGAGAGUGACAGUGUACUCACAUACAUAAAAUAAAUAAAUAUUAAAAAAAACCCUAACAUACGAGUCAGCUACUUCUGUGCAUAUGCCCGAAGGAAUCAAAGUGAGCAUACAAUAGAAACACUACACCCCCGUGUUUAUUGUAGCACUAUUCAUAUCAGCCAGGUUUUGGAAUCAGUGGAAGAGUCUAUCAAUGGAUAAAAGGAUAAAGAAAAUGUGGUAUACAUUCACAAUGGCAUUGGAUCAUCUACAGAGAUGUGGUGGGCAGGAGAAUGGAUCAAACUACAGAUUGUCAUGGUCAGCAAAAUAAGCCAGACUCAGAAAAUCAAAAUGCUCAUAUCUUUUCCCAUAUACAGAAUCUAUAUUAAAAUAAAAAGAUAGCGAGGGCAGAAGUGGGACUAUUUGACAGGUGAGAAGGAGGGGGACAAGAGGCUAUUAGAAUAGAUACUAUUAAAAUAUAUCAUAUAUGAAAAUAUCACAGAAUACAUUGUUAUAUACAAUUAAUAUAUGAUAAGAAUUUUAAAGUAUGCAUUUGUACACAAUACAGUUUCAAGGGUAGCCGCUAAUAUACUUUGCAGUCACCUCUACCUGGCAGAAUUUUAGUAAUCUUUCACUUAUUUGUUUCCUAAGAAAGUAUGUAUUGUUAUAUCGAUCAUUGUCAUUUAAAAUAUUGUGAAUAUAAAAUAAAACUGAAU